UGGGGGACCCCCCCCCAAGCCCAAGACCGUGGCUCUGCAGGGAGAGGUUUUGGCCCUCCGAGCCCCACCAGGGAGGUGGCCGGCACGGGAAGAAGGGUUAAAAAGGGGAAAAAAUGGGAAAAAAAAAAAAAAAGAGAAAAAAAUAGAAAAAGGGAGAAAAAAAAAAAGGGAGAAAAAAAAAGGAGGAGAAGGAGGAAAGGAAGGGCGGACAUCAAAGGCAACUUCUCUGCUCAGCAGAUGAGCAGAUCCAUCCUCACUUCAUAUUUUUUGCAGAUGAACUCGGGGCGGGGGGAGCGGGAUUAACCCUUCGCUUGCCGGGCAGCCGCGGUGCCCCCGCCGGUGACAGGGACGGGCUGAGGCCGGCAGCAGAGCGGGGCAGUUUGCAGCCGGGGGGUGGCAAGGGGAACGGCCAGGCUUUUUUUCCUUUUUAAAGGUCCGGGAUGACACGAAUAGCCCGAAUACUUUGCAGCGGAGCGGCAUCAUUUUUUAGCGCUGACAAGCCUCGUUGAGUCAUUGAAUGAGCGAGAAACGGGGAGAAAAGUUGCAGAAAGGGGACUUUGCAGGGCGAAACGCGGGACCCGUCGGCGAGGCAGACCACGCAGGAGAGCAAACCCUAGGAAAUCGCCGGGGCUGAGAAGCAAACAGGCAUUUUUCAUCGCUGUAGUGAAAUCUCGGCCGUGCCCUCGGACAUCUUCCCGUCCACGCUGCCUGCACGAGGCUUUCGCUCCCGUUACGCCCCACGUCCUACGGAAACCUGCUCUAGGAUAAUACACACCGGUCUGGAUCAAAAGCUCUCCAAAGGCCUGCGCAAUUUCAGCAAAGGCCUGUUUUGAUGAAAACCAGAAGGAAGGGACUGAAAAAGGCUGCCUUCGCCCGGCUCGCCUCCAGCCCAUCGGCAGCUCCGAAUGAUGGGGGCGAUGGGGACGGGCUCGUGCCACCACCGUGCCACCAUCCCGGCUCCCCCAGCACCCCCCAGGCUUCGGCACCACCUUGGCUAUUGCCUUCUGAAAGAUGCCAUGUUCCGGGAAGAAGAGUAGCACGACGCCAGCCUCUAACAUCUAUUCGGCGAGUGUCACCACGAAACACUGCACGGAUGCGGUCCCCAGCACAACACCACAUCCAGCAGGAGGGAUGAAGGCAGAAAAAAGCUCAUUUUAGCACAUGAGGCUUCUCAAAACCACAAGCCGAGCGACUACGGGCUCGAAGUCAGAGAGCAGGGUAAGGCAGAUUGUGCCUGCGCCAAGGACAUGGGGAGUGGCACCCCAGGUCCUGCUGCGAGGAUUUGGGGGACGUUUCUGGACGAUGGCUCCAGACCAGGAGAUGCAGCCAGGUAGCAGCGAAGCGUGCGGGCAGUCUGAUCAGUGGGACGAGCAGGUUUAAUAGCCAACAACUCUAUUUAUUUCAAGUCCAACAGUGUCUGCAAGGGAGAUUUUGAAGCCUUGGCACACAGCAGUUGCCGCCCUUGUGGGCACUUGUGGGGACACAUCCCUGGGGGACAGAAGGAGCCCACGCCGUUCCCACCACAGCGGAGGCUGCAGGAGCCCAGCCAAGCCGCGGGGAGCACCCGUGGGGUCCUGGCACCAGGCGUCACCGCUGCUGAGGAAGGGACGGAGCCUUCCCAAAGCCCCUUUCCCACCUGGGUGCUCAUCACCGGGGGUCCCCACCACCGCCCAUCCACGCCUCGUUUUUGCACCCUUCCAUGGGGAGAGGACAACCACCUCCGUCAGACGAAGGGACAGAGCAAUGGAAAAGCAGCAGCCCCACAAAGCUGGCUGCUGAGCAGGAGAGCAGGGCCAGGAAGGCUGCUUUCACCUGUGGGGGGGCAGAGGGGGCGGCAAAAGCUGCGGCUCCUCUGCAUGUCACUGCUCGGCGCUGAUCACCGCCCUUUGCAACCCGCCGUGCCCGAGCACGGAUCCCUCAGAAACUCAUUUCCUUGCUCUCAUCUCAUCUUGCUCCAGUAAAGGCUUUGCUGACUAGCUUGAAGGGAAGCCGACAUAACCCAAACCGCGGGCUGCUGGGGCACGGCCAUGCCCCGAUCCCACUCCUGCAGGGGGCUUCUUCCAGCCACCCUACAAGGGACUUGGGGUGGCACCAGGCUGUGGGCCAGCAUCCGCUGCUCGUCCCACAUCUGCACACACACACGGGGCAAAGGCUAGUGCAAAAAACAUCCCAGCACAUCUGGGUUAUCGGUGAUGCUCCUGGCUGCGCUCGUGUCCCACGCCAAGGGCCCCAAAACCAUCGCUGCUGCGGGUGAAAGCAGGGGGGUGUGGGAACCGGGCACCCGCAGGCUGCGCGUGGGGAAACUGAGGCACGGAGCAGCGCUGUGAGUCGCUUUUUUAGGUAAAUUUUUGAGGAAAAAAAAAAAAAACAAAACCAAACCUAUGACUACAGCGAGCAGUUUUGAUGGCAAACGGCAGGAGUGCAGGGCAGCUCUGCGCAGAGCCCCGAUGCCAAGCCGGUCGCAGCAUCCCUCCCCAGCCCUUCGCAGACAUUCAAGCUGGGAAUCCUGCUAAUGAAAGGAAAACAGAGAGACGCUGCGGAGCGGAGGCCCAGGGUGUGGUAACUCUAGAAGGCAGCGAGGAGGCAUGAAUGAACCCUUUCACUGGGGUCCAGGGAAGCCGGUGGCACACGGGCCGGAGGAAUGCGAGCGCCCGGCGCACCGAGGCGCGCGCCGCGGGCCGGGGAGAGGCGGCCGUCGUUAAUCAGCGGGAUUAAUUCGGGGCCGGGGCCGCGGCGAGGAGCGGGACGCUGCGGAUCAGCAGCUCGGGGAGGGGAGCGGGAGGCCUGCUUCCCAAAGGCUGACAAGCUGUCCUUAUUUUUUCCUGUAAUUAUGUCUCUGAGGGAUCCCUAACAUUUACAUUUUUGUGCGAGCUGUAUAGUUUAUUCACGGGCCCGCUUCGCGAAGGGCUCCGCUAAUAAAUGGGCGUAUUGAGG